GAAACGGCGUCUAAUACUGGAUACGAGCUGCGACCGCAUGGUCAGUAGUUGGAAAGAAUUUCGGUCAGGGAUGAGCUCGCGGCCUAUCAGCUUGUUGGUGAGGUAAUGGCUCACCAAGGCGUCGACGGGUAGCCGGCCUGAGAGGGUGACCGGCCACACUGGGACUGAGACACGGCCCAGACUCCUACGGGAGGCAGCAGUGGGGAAUAUUGCACAAUGGGCGAAAGCCUGAUGCAGCAACGCCGCGUGAGGGACGACGGCCUUCGGGUUGUAAACCUCUUUUAGCAGGGAAGAAGCGAAAGUGACGGUACCUGCAGAAAAAGCACCGGCUAACUACGUGCCAGCAGCCGCGGUAAUACGUAGGGUGCAAGCGUUAUCCGGAAUUAUUGGGCGUAAAGAGCUCGUAGGCGGUUUGUCGCGUCUGCUGUGAAAUCCCGAGGCUCAACCUCGGGUCUGCAGUGGGUACGGGCAGACUAGAGUGCGGUAGGGGAGAUUGGAAUUCCUGGUGUAGCGGUGGAAUGCGCAGAUAUCAGGAGGAACACCGAUGGCGAAGGCAGAUCUCUGGGCCGUAACUGACGCUGAGGAGCGAAAGGGUGGGGAGCAAACAGGCUUAGAUACCCUGGUAGUCCACCCCGUAAA
rnacentral:rRNA from 1 species